rnacentral:rRNA from 1 species
AACGUAGGACACAAGCGUUAUCCGGAGUUACUGGGCGUAAAGGGCGUGUAGGCGGACGUGUAAGUCUAUUCUGAAAGCUCCUGGCUAAACUGGGAGAGGCGAAUGGAGACUGCAUAUCUAGAGUGAGGAAGAGGAAAGUGGAAUUCCGCGUGUAGUGGUGAAAUGCGUAGAUAUCGGAAGGAACAUCAGUGGCGAAAGCGACUUCCUGGACCAGUACCGACGUUCAGGCACGAAAGCGUGGGGAGCAAACAGG